UACGAAGGGGGCUAGCGUUGCUCGGAAUUACUGGGCGUAGAGGGCGCGUAGGCGGCGCUGCAAGUCAGGCGUGAAAUUCCUGGGCUUAACCUGGGGGCUGCGCUUGAGACUGUGGUGCUAGAGGAUGGAAGAGGCUCGUGGAAUUCCCAGUGUAGAGGUGAAAAUUCGUAGAUAUUGGGGAAGAAACACCGGUGGCGAAGGCGGCGAGCUGGUCCAUUACUGACGCUGAGGCGCGACAGCGGUGGGGGAGCAAACAGG
rnacentral:rRNA from 1 species